rnacentral:misc_RNA from 1 species
CCGAGUUUACAACUCCCAAACCCCUGUGAACACACCUAUAUGUUGCCUCGGCGGAUCAGCCCGCGCCCCGUAAAACGGGACGGCCCGCCGCAGGAUCCACAAACUCUGUUUUUAUUGUAACUUCUGAGUAACAAAACAAAUAAAUCA